CCUUUGGGCAGAAAGCUGCUCCCUUUUCGUCACAGCCCGGAUAAUGAAUUGCAGUGUACAAAGCCGGUCAUACAAUACGCAGCAGCGGCAGCGCGGAGCGAGAAUCUUUGGGAAGAGUUUCCAUAGAAACAUUGACGUCCUCCUGGCGAACAGGACACCGAGUUCCUUCAAUGGGAGAUGAAGACCUUGGCCUCAAGGAUUGUCCAUCCCACCAUGGGCUGUGGCCUCUCCAUGCCGUGUCGUGUCUUCAGCUUUGUGGUUCCGUUGGGCUCAGCUGCUAAAAGGCUUUUUUACUACAAAAACACUGCUGGUACUCAUGGGCCUGGUGAUGUGGACAUGCAAUCACCAACCCUCCAAAACCCCAGGGAGAACCAUUUUUAGGAGGACCUGGGCAAAACACAGCCUCCCUACAACUGCAGCCUCAACGGUGGCCAGCAGAGUCCCCCGGAGCAGACGACAGAGCUGAAGAAAGUACUUGGAGAAAAUAUGAUCCAGCUCAGAAGAGAAGUUCCAGGGAGCAGAUCUCCUGGUGUGAAGGAACAAUUGCAUUAUUAUCCCUCUGGAGAUGGAGAUAAAUGAGAUUUAUCCUCUYCAGGGCAAAGCAUUUACCAGGCAACAAAAGUUAAAAUUCCUGGUAAGGAACAAGGUUGGGCUGUGCAGCAACAAGUGUUUCUGGAGAAUGUAAGCCUGACGUGUGUGCUGAUGUUACUCUUUAUUUUCUGAURUGAAACCAGUCCCACAUAUAAAGGAAACAAAUUUCAUCCUCUUCCCUACAUGAUUUUCAACAGCUGCUCAUGCAAUAGUCCAGCCAGCCAGAAAGGAGAUGUUCGUAGGUAGCUGAAAAUGAAACCAAUUUCUGUCUGUUCUGUGACUGGUUUCACUCCCRGAUCCUCCAGCUCAGGGCUGGUGUCUUCUGCAAAUCCUUGUAGGUGGGAUUGCUGGUUAAUGAUUGCUGUAAUUCAUUUAGGUCACAGCCCUUCUUCUGCUCCUUCUUUUCACUACCUGAGGGAGAGCUGAAACACAGAUCACCCAAUGCACAAGUGCUGGUUUGAUUUAUUGCCACAGUCAGCUAAAUCUGAGCUCUCUGCCCAGUAUCYAUGGCUCAGUUCACCUCGGGUCUCUGGCAUUGCUUCUUACAAUUGCCCUUCUUCUACUUACAUUUCAAAACCUGAGAAUUGUUCUGGUUUUAAGGAUAGUCACACAGUUACACCUCCAAAUGGAUAUGAGGACCAUUUUCAAGAUAAAAAGAAAAUCUAUUUAAAAUAAUUGGCUCGGUAUUUUCUUGCUCAUGUAUGCAGGUACUUUUAUUAAAAGUGCUCUGAGCAGUGUCAUGUGUGUAUGCAGCCUUGGAUUAGACUGAAAUGAAAUUGUGAGAAUUUAUGGAAAAGCUUUUUGUGAGAAAACAUCCUUAGCUAUGUAGCCUUAGAAACUAGAGUUGGAGUUGGAGCUCGGAGAGUGGCUAUGAAUAUGGAGAGCCAGGAGUUGRAAUAAUCACAAGGGAGGCAACUGCACCAGCCAGGAUGAAAGAUGAGAGUUUCAGCAGAAAAUUGAUCAAGAUAACGAAGUAGGGGGAAGAUGUCUUGUGACAGCAGCUGGAUUUGUAGCAUCUAGCCUCAAAUARGAGCAUGAAACAUAAGUUUGCUUGGAGGAGGAAAAAAAUCAAUCAGGAGAUUUCACAUAGGCUUGUGAGACUAUAGAAAGCUCCAAGACGCCCUGGAACGCUGCACCAUUUACCCUAAUCGGGGGGUGAGUCAGCACUCAAUUAUGCUCAGGCAAUUUUAUAUUCAGUUUUUUAUGCGUUGGCGACAAAGCAAUUUAGAUAAUAUGGUCACACAGCAGAAUCACCUUCUUUACAAAUCUGAGUUCCAUUAGCUACAAUAAAAAGUAUGUCACUCCGAGUGCUCAUUUCCCAGCGUGGAAGAUAAUCAUCAUGUGGGAUCAAGAAGAAAUCUCUUCCUCCCAUUGCCAAACUCAAUGUAAUUGUGUGACAUGGCUGUUUUAUCCUUGCCUCUGAAGAUCUUAGUUACGGCUACUCUUGAGACUACACAGAUCCACUGCUGUGUGCAGGGGCUGUCUGAAACCUUUGCAUUAAUAAUAGCGCAUGAGAUAAUGGCUCCUACUGGGUCGUGUGUUCCAGAGAAAACAUUCUGUUCUAAUGAAGUGGGUCAUAUAUAUGUAGGUACACGAGGGUGGCUCAGCCUGCCCAUCACAGGGUAAAGAGCUGUGACCUGUGAAACGGAAGAAUCUCUGUGAAAUCGUGAAAUUGAGUUAUUGGCAAGUCCCACGAGUACUGUCCUGGGGGGUUUCAAGGUGUGGCUUUAUGCAGCUUUUUGACAGCAGUUCAGGAAAGAUGUUAUGUUAAUCUGACCUUUAGCUUAAUCUUUUAAGGCACUUAUUAUAUUAUUUUGGCAAUUAUACCUUUAGGAAUCAGAAUUUGGAGAGGAAAUGAAUGAUUUACUAUUUAAACCGAGUGAUCAUUUCAAUGCCAGUGACAGAUUGAGUCUCCCAUGAACUACUCCUUACACGAACUGUGUUCGAAACAGGAUGCACAAACUGUGCAAAAUCCACUUUGGAUGUCUCAGGAGCCAACACACAGCUUGAAUCUUCAUUCCCUUCCAUUAUUCCUGUCUCCAUGACUCGAUGGACUUUAAUAGGAGCUGAGUAAGGGCCAGAUCUGGAGCACAGCAAGCUSAAAGAGAAAUUUCCAUUGGCUUUUUCCCCCCCCAUGGAUAAUACCCUUAAAGAUUCAGGGUCAAACCUUCAGCUGUYAUAUCCUGGCAUCUUUCCACUCAACUAACUCUUCAUGUCUGCACAAGUACUAGGUUUCUGUGCAGCUGAAAAGGAACACCCUUCUUGGUUGGGAUUUUUUUUUAAUAUGAAGAAAGUUUUCAUGAUCUUCUCAUGAGGAGGAUUUUCAGACUGUAUUUAUCUAGACACAGACACUUGAACUCAUUUACUUUGAAGUCACCGUCAUUCACACUGUCACAGCGUGACUGCACAGCAGGUUAACUCAGCACUUCUCAAAUCAAUGCCUUCAGMCCCAACACCAACAGCUGUAACCUGUGCCUUUCCUAAAGGUGAUAUUCUGCCUGCCACCUGGUAGUCACUAAUUAAACUCUCCAAGUCCUGGGCUCAGAAUAAAACACUGUUACUGAUAGGAAUCRGAUUGCAGAAAGGCAUAAAAACCCCUAGUGAACAGCCACAUGAUCCUC